GACGAACGCUGGCGGCGUGCUUAACACAUGCAAGUCGAACGGACCUUCGGGUUAGUGGCGAACGGGUGAGUAACACGUGGGUGAUCUGCCCUGCACUUUGGGAUAAGCCUGGGAAACUGGGUCUAAUACCGGAUAGGACCACGCGCUUUAUGGUGUGUGGUGGAAAGCUUUUGCGGUGUGGGAUGGGCCGGCGGCCUUUCAGCUUGUUGGUGGGGUAAAGCCCUACCAAGGCGACGAUCUGUAGCGGGUCUGAGAGGAAGAUCAGCCACACUGGGACUGAGACACGGCCCAGACUCCUACGGGAGGCAGCAGUUAGGAAUAUUGGACAAUGGGCGCAGGCCUGAUCCAGCCAUGCCGCGUGAGUGAUGAAGGCCUUCGGGUUGUAAAGCUCUUUAGCCGACGAAUAUAAUGACUGUAGUCGGAGAAUAAGCCCCGGCUAACUUCGUGCCAGCAGCCGCCGUAAAAC
rnacentral:rRNA from 1 species